CCGCCCUUCUAUUCUGCUUUAGCUAAAACACUAAUGCCAAUACAAAACAGUUCAAUGUUUAUUUGUUAAGUGAAUUAGUGGCAAUGGAGAGGUUAGCUAAUCAUACUCUUAAUCAGAGGGUCCCAAGUUCGACCCCCACCUGGAGUUUUGUUGAUAAUAGUUCUGGUUAUGACCAAUAAAUGGUUCUUUAUUACAUACUCAAAGCAGAUUUUAAAUCUACACAUAGGUUCAUUGCUAAAAACCACAGUUACCUAGUAUUUGGACAGGUUUAGCUAACCUAACUAUCUCAUUUGAUCAAUUGCAAUUAUAAGGAUUGUAUGAAAUAUUAAAAAAUGCAACAUUUAGGAACAAAGUAUUGCUUAUUUCGUGCAUCGUAGCAUACUUAAACACAUUUCUUAUAUUAUUCACAGAACAAGAGAUCAACCUAGGGACCAAAUCGCUGGAAUGGGAUAGUUUUGAUAGCUCGUCUAGCCAAAACUGUAGUCCAAAUACCAGUUUAUGUGUGCCAAGUUCAGAGAGCUCAGUCAGUGAGGCUAUGACCAUACCGAUCCAGGAUAAAAUGUAAGAUGACCUUCGCAACUGAUGUGGCCGAGCAGGCACAAAGACAAGAUUCAAUCUAUUUAUCUUACAAUGUAAAAAUUGUUGUCAAUAAAAAGCCUUAAUCCUU